rnacentral:rRNA from 1 species
CAAUAGCGUAUAUUAAAGUUGUUGCAGUUAAAAAGCUCGUAGUUGGACUUCUGCGGGUGGCGGCCGGUCGUGCUCGAAACGGGCGUGAACUUGGCGUGCUGCCCGCAUCUUUGGGGAGAUUGUGCGUGGCAUUAAGUUGUCGUGCAUGGGAUUCUCAUCAUUUACUGUGAAAAAAUUAGAGUGUUUAGAGCAGGCCUUUGCCUUGAAUACAUUAGCAUGGAAUAAUAAGAUAGGACCGUUGUCUAUUUUGUUGGUUUACAGAUGUCGGUAAUGAUUAAUAGGGAUAGUUGGGGGUAUUCGUAUUCAGUUGUCAGAGGUGAAAUUCUUGGAUUUUCGGAAGACGCACGACUGCGAAAGCAUUUACCAAGGAUGUUUUCAUUAA